rnacentral:rRNA from 1 species
UACGUAGGGGGCAAGCGUUGUCCGGAAUUAUUGGGCGUAAAGAGCGUGUAGGCGGUCCGGUAAGUCGGCUGUGAAAGUCCAGGGCUCAACCCUGGGAUGCCGGUCGAUACUGCCGGACUAGAGUUCGGAAGAGGCGAGUGGAAUUCCCGGUGUAGCGGUGAAAUGCGCAGAUAUCAGGAGGAACACCGGUGGCGAAAGCGGCUCACUGGACCGUUUCUGACGCUGAGGUGCGAAAGCUAGGGGAGCAAACGGG